rnacentral:lncRNA from 1 species
AGGCGGUAGAGGAGGGGUGGGAGGAAGGAGGAGAAGGUAACUUUAUCUGAAUCUACCAUAAACUUUGUCUUUGAGACAGAGCAACCCCAAAUAGAGAGUAAAAAUAAUACUGAUUACAGCUGGAUAACAAGUACUGAGCUGGGCCAGGCUCGGCUCGGUAAAAAUGGACUCCUUAAAUUUCAGUUGCUGCUUCCACAUUACUCCCACUCACUGUCCAUAGCCCAAAUUCCUCAUGGAUCCCCGGCUGACUACAAGGGAGGCGGGAAGGAAGGGAACCCCGAGCGUGUAGUACACUCUGUGUGUGGUACAGCAUUCUGUGCUUUUCCGUAUACAUUAAGAUUCCAUGGUUACAGUGGAGCUGGGGCAGAGAGCGAGUCACCCCCGCCCCUCACAAAAGGACAGGACUCCCAUGUCACCCACAGGGAGGCUGAGACCAUCCCACCCCAACACCUCUGUGAUCCAGGACUCCUCACAAGCACCAAUAACAGCAAGUAUCAAACAAAUUGUUUUGGCUGGAAAGGCUGUCAAGUCACAAGACAAGCAAUACCGACAAGCUCUAGUUUGCACGUUGAGUACCAAGCAAAUGAGUACGGGACAAAAUUUUCAAGUCAAAAUUCAUCAGGACAUAAAUGCCAUCCCCAGCAUUAACCAUGCAUGUUUUGUGGUUCCGGAGGACUCCUGGACAGCCCUGUGCACAUCCCGUAAGUGUGUCUCUAACUGCCCCACUUCAUACCUGCUCCCCAGACACUGGCACCACCAACUCUCCAUCCCCGCGGGCCUCACAGACAGGCCAGGGGGCAUCUGGGAAGCGUCAAAGGCAGGCUGUGGGCUUCUCGGUGCUCCUCGCCUGAGUCCCAAAGUAGGUGGACAGCAAGCACGGGGACGGAUAGUGCCUGAGAGAGAAACUGUCACUGCUGAUUAAACAGCAGGAACUGCCCGUCCUCUCUGGGAACCAGGGGCCCGCAGGUCAGAAGAUCAACACAUUAGCAGGCUGUAGACGCGUUCUCAGGCCGGUGCUGCAGGCCCUCCUGGCAGGAGCGGCUCCCCCAGGAACAGCACCCCAGAAGGGGAACGCAGUGUUCCAGCACCCCCUCCGUCCCACGUGGUCUCUCGGGCUCGGUAACACAGCUCCGAAAGAUCCAUCCCAGGGAACAAAAUGAAAGGGAAAACUACAUGCCUGAAAUUUUUAUGGCAGCAUCAAUGCUGGGACGGCCGAGAACUAGAGCGAAUCAGCUCCAGGGACUCGUGUGCAGCUGUAAAAGAAAUGAUGACACAGGCCACGUGACAACCUGGGAAAACUGGAAACGUGGCUGAUAAGUGAAAAGAAGACUGGGAAACUUUAUUCUGUGUCUACAGCCCUGGGAGAAUGUCAGCAUAAAAAAGAGAACACAAACAAAGCAAGUAACUGCGCAACGCGAAGGGAUGCGGGAGAAGUUUCCUGAAAUGACUAAUGUUGUUGCAUGCAUUUUUAAUAAAGGCAGGAAACGUCUGGGUAUGGAGAUGGUGAUGAGGAAAGGAACGAAGAAAGUUAAAAGCUGUUGAUUUGCUUUGGGGAAAAACUAAAUUUAGACCUUGCACCAUGCUAGAGCUGUUCCAUGUUCCACCUCGCUCAGUCUGUAUAACCUCAUCUGAGGGCAAUUUCAUCCCCGUUUUACAGAUCAGGAGACUGAGGUUUGGGAGGAGGAGCCUCCUUCCCCAGGACCCUGCUUCUGAUGAGUUCCACCUGGUGCUGGUUCAUACAGAGUCCCAGGCACAGGCCACAGGGCGGCCGUGCUCAGCCACCCACCCAGUGAGAAUCCACGGCAAAUGUGAACCUGCUCCCAGCGAGUCUGUGUGUGUGACCCAGAACACACCCAGAAGGAGCCUUCGCUGCCCAAGCAAAAUGGGAAUGGAUGCACUUCGGGACAGGAUCCACCCCUCCGCCACUGCCGUCCACUUAGCAGCGAGGGUACAAACCCCCUUCCCGGCCUGCCCUGCCCUAGGAGCCCCGACCCCAAAGAGAAGAGACUUCACCAGAGUUUGCCACUUGCACUCUCUGCUCUCAUCAGGAAACAAUGCCAG